UACGGAGGGUGCAAGCGUUAAUCGGAAUUACUGGGCGUAUAGCGUACGUAGGCGGUUCGUUAAGUUAGAUGUGAAAGCCCCGGGCUUAACCUGGGAACUGCAUUUAAAACUGGCGGACUAGAGUUGAGUAGAGGGGAGUGGAAUUUCAGGUGUAGCGGUGAAAUGCGUAGAGAUCUGAAGGAACACCAGUGGCGAAGGCGACUCCCUGGACUCGAACUGACGCUGAGGUACGAAAGCGUGGGUAGCAAACGGGAUUAGAUACCCCGGUAGUCC
rnacentral:rRNA from 1 species